rnacentral:ncRNA from 2 species
UGCGAACGACAGGGGAGCGUCACGCCCCACCCCGGGCCGACGCUGAGAGUGCGGGCAACCGCAGACCCUCGCACCUGAUCCGGUUCGCACCGGCGUAGGGAGUCGGGACGUCUCAGGC